UGGGGAAUAUUGGACAAUGGGCGCAAGCCUGAUCCAGCCAUGCCGCGUGAGUGAUGAAGGCCCUAGGGUUGUAAAGCUCUUUCACCGGUGAAGAUAAUGACGGUAACCGGAGAAGAAGCCCCGGCUAACUUCGUGCCAGCAGCCGCGGUAAUACGAAGGGGGCUAGCGUUGUUCGGAUUUACUGGGCGUAAAGCGCACGUAGGCGGACUAUUAAGUCAGGGGUGAAAUCCCGGGGCUGAACCCCGGAACUGCCUUUGAUACUGGUAGUCUUGAGUUAGAGAGAGGUGAGUGGAAUUCCGAGUGUAGAGGUGAAAUUCGUAGAUAUUCGGAGGAACACCAGUGGCGAAGGCGGCUCACUGGCUCGAUACUGACGCUGAGGUGCGAAAGCGUGGGGAGCAAACAGG
rnacentral:rRNA from 1 species